GAGGAAACCCCACCACCGCCUACCUUGUCGCUUCCUGAGCCCAGACACGAACAGGAGUCCCACGCAUCAACAUUCCUCGCCUUUCCUCCUCGCCACGCCAGCUCACGCGACACCAGCACAACAAAAAAAAGUCUCAUCUACCACGCCCAGAGACACCAGCCGCUUAAACAAGCAUUCCUCAUUACUGCAGCAGCAGCAGGAUGAAGACUACGAUGCGAGUCCUGUUGGCGGCGGUGAUGAUGGUGAUGGUGGUGAUGGUGAUGGGCCAGACAGGGAAUGCCCAGGGUGGCGGCCAAGGAGGCGGCGGCUUCAGUGAAUGUGACUGCCAGCCCUUCAUCAUGUGCGCCAUCGAAUUCGAUUACAUCCAGAAUAGCUGCACCCUCGAGGAUGGCAGUGAAGGCGUGUGCUGUCCUGAAGAAUCACCCCUGCUACCCUCUUCCUUCCCUUGAAGAAAAACUAGCUAAUUGCGAGUUUCUCUUAAAGUAGAUUACUACAACACGUUGAUGAAAAGAAUGUGUGGAAGUGGUUGAAAGAGGAGGACAUACUGAAUAAAGCUAUUAAAUAUAA